GAACUCACGAAACUGUGAGCUCGUGACCUGAGCCGAGAUCAAGAGUCAGACUCUUAACUAACAGAGCCACCCACGCGCCCCUAAACCUUGUGUGUUUUCUAUGAAUCCUGCUUUGGUCGCCGAAGCCCCAUCCAUGAUUCUCUUUGACACAAGCUUCUCCCUACUUUGGGCUUCUCGGGUUGUUAUGGGACAGCAAGAUUCUCAGAGACCCUGUUGUCUGGCUGAGAAGAUCCACCAGCAAUCACUACCUUAAAUCUUCCAGAGGUCCUGGAGUUCUUGCACUCCCGAUUCAAAGGGGGGACAUGUUCACACUCUUACUGGGAACAACGCUAGUUGCACAUGGAAAGGAACCCACCUUGAGGGUAAGAAACUAAGGCUGAAAGAGAAGGACUUGGCCACAAUAAUAAACCAAAUGGUUAACAAAGCAAGAAGGAGCCAUUUUCUCUCUUCUAUUAAAGUUCAGAGUGCUUUCUGCAACAUCUCUCCCCUACGUGAUGUUGGAAAGGAACACGGCUUUAAAAUACGUUGUUCGGAAUAUCAGAGAUAAAUGAUCUUUGAAGCAUCUUUUUUAUCCUUAUUCAUGUCAUUGUUAUCCCCCUUGAUUAUGUUCGGCAGAGCUGACUGUGCUAGAAAGAUCUAAAGUCAGAGAACAACAAUCAGUGCAGAGUUGGAAAGGAAGCCGCGGUUCCUGUGUUUCUGGAACAUCUGGAGGAAAAAGAAAAUGCCCUUCCUUUUGGGGUUUUAGGGAUCUUUUACUUUCCAUGAGUUUUCCCCCAAGUCAUAUAACAAACGCCUUCGAAACACCUUCGACACGUCCGACUCUAUUCUCCGCGUUGGAGAUUGGCCUUUGAGGUGCUCACGAGGUGGGAGUGUGGACAGUUGAUGGUUGGAAGUAUAAGCACGUAGUAGAACCAAGAAAGCAGCCCUGCUGGGAGCAGGUGAACAACACCUUGAAGAAAGAGCAGAAAUUCACUAGGAGUUGGUAACUGGAAGAAGACCUGGAAGAACAGACAAGAGCCUGACGCGCGGCUUGAUCUCAUUGAACUGUGAGAUCAUGACCGGAGCUGAAGUCAAGAGCUGGAUGCUUAACCGAUUGAGCCACCCAGGCGCCCCGACAUGGACAUUUUCUAGGCACAGAGAGUCCCUGCAUGAGGGCGUGUCCACCGGCAUGUGUUAUACCUCCAACAGGCUCCUUGAUGAGUCUAGGAGUCCCAAUGCCUGGGCCCCAUGACCUACCCGUGACUCUAUCUCAUUCAUCUCUCAAGUCCUCCAAGUUGCCAGACACGCUUCUCCGGCUGUUCCGGUUACUGAUCUCUCUGACUCCUGACAGAUGGACCAUCAGACCCUCACCUCCAAGCCUGUUGCCAGUUGAAGCCACGCUCCUGAUUCCAUGUGUGCAAACUCACUUCAGAUUCUCAACCCAACUGUAAGGUUUUAUCUCGAAUGGAACCGGCUUCCUCUGCACCUGGUUCCCACCCUCCCGUCUUGAGCCACGACUCUUUAAGUAGGAUUUGAAGCAUAAACAAAUGAUUACAGAAGGACAUUCACUGCAGAGACAGACCAGCCUGCACAGAGCUGGGGAGACAGACAGCCACACGGUGCGUCUGGAAAAUCGUAACUGACUUCUCUGAGUGAUAAUGAAAACUUGGCGUAUCCAUACUGAAAUGCAAACGAAAAUAUCGCGACAAGAGAAACGAGAUGUUUUGCGCGAGCCCUCCGUAAGCUCCGGAGCACCGACUCAAACGUCGGGUGAUGAUGCUUUUGCUGCUGGCAUGGUCAGGGAAGAGCAAGCCAGGCAUGGCUGUCCUUCAAAGAUAGAGGGUAAUCUUAUUUAUUUAUUUUAAUGUUCACGUAUUUAUUCUGAGAAAGAGAGAGAGAGAAUGCCAAGCAGGCUCUGUGCUCAGUGCGGAGCCGACACGGGGCCCGAACUCACGAACUACAAGAUCAUGACCUGAGCCGAAAUCGAGAGUCGGCCGCUCAACCCACUGAGCCACCCAGGCGCCCCGAUAGCAGGCAACUUUGAAUAGUCAUAGGAAAUGCUAAAAAAAACAAAAAACAAACCAAAGUCCAAGAAACAACACACACACACACACACACACACACACACACACACACGCGUGCACGCACAAGCCGAGGGGAGGAGGGAAGUCCUCUCAAUCCAGAUUGAAGCUGAUUUAUUACCACACGUAAUCCAUAGUAGUAGGUCCACAUCGAUUUUGUAUCUAAUUUAAAAAUUUGAGGUCUCAAUGUGCUCAUUAAAGAACAUAAUGGAUUUACAUAUUUUAAUUAUGUUUUAUGGAUUGUGAACAUAAUGUAAUUAAGAGACUUUUCAGGAGGCAUGAUGAAUGAACAGGGUGGCCCAACAUACGGCGGGAGACGACACAGCGAGUGGACUCGUCCGGAGCAGCCCAGCCUCGCGGCUGACGGCCCAGGCCAGAGCGCCAGGACCCCGUUCACAGUUAUGGCAGCCUAAUGACGCCACCAGGCAGGAAUAAUGAGGCUGAAAGACCGGGCAGGUGGCCGAGUGCUGUGUCUGCAGGACGGCGUGGGCCUGUCAUGGCCGCCAGACUGUCUUUCUCUCCUGCCUUUCUUCACCUUCCCCUCUGGUGCAGCCUUGGUUGAAAAGCAACCUCGUCAGCUCUUCUAUUUUAUGUUUAACUGUGGCAAAAAAAAGAAAAAAAAAACCACAACACACACACACACAUAGUAGAAACACACACACAAUAGUACUAUCUUCACCAUUUUUCUUUUUUAAUUUUUUCUUUUUUCUUUCCAUAUAUGAAGUUUAUUGUCAAAUUGGUUUCCAUACUAACUUCACCAUUUUUAGAUUCCCAGUUCAGCGGUGUUAAGUAUGUCCCUAUUGUCGUGCAGCCAGUGUCCAGAACCUUCACCUUGCAAACCUGGAACGCGAUACCAAUUAAACAACUCCCCAUUCCCCCUCCCCCGGCCCCUGGCAACCGUUAAUUCUACUUUCUGGGUCUCUGGGUUCGCCUCUCUUAGGGACCUCACACAAGUGGAAUCACACAGUAUUUGCCCUUUGGUGGCCGGCUUAUUUCACUGAACAUAAUGUCCUCGAGGUUCGGCCAUGUUGGGGCAGGUGACAGGAUUUCCUUCCCUUUGAGACUGAAGCAUAUUCCAUUGAAUGUAUAUGUCACCUUUUCUUUACCCAUUCAUCCUUUGAUGGACGCUUGACAGAACUGUUAACUUUUCUCUGCACGGGUGUGAUGAUCUCAAUUCAGGAUUCCUUAGACUCACCUCUGCCAGUGGAAGGCUCUUUCCAAGAUGGCCGGCGUCACCCCCUCUUUAAAAUCUGCUUCCGUUGCCUUGAGUUUUUGUCCCUUCUCCAGCCACGCGGUCCACUUGUCCCAGGCAAGCCUACCUCUACCUGACAUUUGUCAUUUCCAAACACGUCAUGUUCUGGCACAACCGGUGACUGUGCCUGGAAUGCCUGAGCCCACCCCUUGUGAGACCCUCUCCCAUAUGCCAUCUCUUAGCCAAACAAAGAGUCUAGGACAGAGGUUGGCACACUACAGUCAGUCGGCCGAAUUCUGCCCUCCAUCUGUUUUUAUAAAUAAAGGUUUAUUGGAAUGCGAGCAUGCCUGUUGUUUAUGGACAGUCCACGGCUGCUUUCCCAGGGUAACUCAAAGCUCUUCAAAGAAAAUCUUUGCCGAGCCCUGCUCUAGGUAAGCGCUUGUGUUGAAAUCUGUCUCUGCCAUUUCCCAGCUAUGACCUUCAACAUCCCUGAAAGGGGAUAACAAGUAAUAGCCCCUUCACAGCUUUAUUGUGAAGGCCGAGGAAUACAUACGAAGCCCUUGGCACAUAGAUGCCAACUUGGCAGGGAAGGCAAUGAGAGCGUUCAUGUCGGGCCAUCAAACGGACACCAGACCACGCUCAGCGGAAACUGCCCCCCAGACUUCUCUUCCCUCGAAGGCAGCGUGGCAAAUUCAAACAGUGUAGGCUUUUGGAGUUAAACAAUUUCAAGAUCACCCUUAUUUUCUUUUUUAAUUUUUAAAAAUGUUUAUUUAUCUUUGAGAGAGAGAGAAAUAGCAUGUG